rnacentral:rRNA from 1 species
GACGAACGCUGGCGGCGUGCCUAAUACAUGCAAGUAGAACGCUGAAGGAGGAGCUUGCUUCUCCGGAUGAGUUGCGAACGGGUGGGUAACGCGUAGGUAACCUGCCUGGUAGCGGGGGAUAACUAUUGGAAACGAUAGCUAAUACCGCAUAACAGUAGAUGUUGCAUGACAUUUGCUUAAAAGGUGCAAUUGCAUCACUACCAGAUGGACCUGCGUUGUAUUAGCUAGUUGGUGAGGUAACGGCUCACCAAGGCGACGAUACAUAGCCGACCUGAGAGGGUGAUCGGCCACACUGGGACUGAGACACGGCCCAGACUCCUACGGGAGGCAGCAGUAGGGAAUCUUCGGCAAUAGACGGAAGUCUGACCGAGCAACGCCGCGUGAGUGAAGAAGGUUUUCGGAUCGUAAAGCUCUGUUGUAAGAGAAGAACGAGUGUGAGAGUGGAAAGUUCACACUGUGACGGUAUCUUACCAGAAAGGGACGGCUAACUACGUG